UGAGUGGCGGACGGGUGAGUAACGCGUGGGCAACCUGCCCUGUACAGGGGGACAACACUUAGAAAUAGGUGCUAAUACCGCAUAACGGGGGAGCCGCAUGGCACCCCCUGAAAACUCCGGUGGUACAGGAUGGGCCCGCGUCUGAUUAGCUGGUUGGCAGGGUAACGGCCUACCAAGGCGACGAUCAGUAGCCGGCCUGAGAGGGCGGACGGCCACACUGGGACUGAGACACGGCCCAGACUCCUACGGAAGGCAGCAG
rnacentral:rRNA from 1 species